GUGGGGAAUAUUGCACAAUGGGCGAAAGCCUGAUGCAGCAACGCCGCGUGAGGGACGACGGCCUUCGGGUUGUAAACCUCUUUUAGUAGGGAAGAAGCGAAAGUGACGGUACCUGCAGAAAAAGCACCGGCUAACUACGUGCCAGCAGCCGCGGUAAUACGUAGGGUGCAAGCGUUAUCCGGAAUUAUUGGGCGUAAAGAGCUCGUAGGCGGUCUGUCGCGUCUGCUGUGAAAACUGGAGGCUCAACCUCCAGCCUGCAGUGGGUACGGGCAGACUAGAGUGCGGUAGGGGAGAUUGGAAUUCCUGGUGUAGCGGUGGAAUGCGCAGAUAUCAGGAGGAACACCGAUGGCGAAGGCAGAUCUCUGGGCCGUAACUGACGCUGAGGAGCGAAAGCGUGGGGAGCGAACAGGAUUAGAAACCCGUGUAGUCC
rnacentral:rRNA from 1 species